GGCUUUUGCUAUUCACUUUCCUUAUUAACACUUGGGGUACAUAUUUGGAGAGGGUGCUAUGGUGCACGCAUACUUACAACUCCAUAAUCUACUUGAGCAAGGCAUCCCUGGACACUUUCAAGAGCCACAGAGGAAAAAAAAAAAAUAACUCCCAGCAGAGCCAGGAUCCCUACUAGGGCUUUGUGCCUGGUAGACAGCCACUUGCUGAGCACACCCUGCAGCACACUGUGCUCCACAGAAUCACCCAUUGCUUGGUAAUUGUUCCUAAAACACAAGCGCGCUUGAGGUGACGCAGAACUACUGAAACUGAAACUCCUGAGACUACUCAAAAAAAUGAAAACUACUGAAACCACUCAAGCACCUGAAACUACUCAAGCACCCCCCCGUGGUCCACCUGAGACGCACUAGCAGUAAUGGCCACAAAUGUACCUCAGAGCUUUGGAGAUUAUGGCCAGUUUGAAGCAGAGGCAUUGCUGUUUUCUGGCACUGAACAAAUCAAAGCCUAUGUGAAUAAUGAAUGCGCAAGUCAGCUUGAGCCUGAUACAGCUGUCGAUUGGAUUCUGCAAGAUUCUCUCCUGCUGUUGCCCUGCAGCAGACCUGGAAGCAUUUGCAGCUGUUAAAAUGAGCAGGAGAUGUUUGCAGCUGUCCCCAGCACGUCAGGAGGCUGGGAGCUUGGAGUAGGGCACAGGAGAGAGCGAGUGCCUAAGGAGGGGUCUGUGUGCCCAGGUGUGUGAAAACAGACAAAAUGCUGGAUUGAGGAGGCAAGUCAGAGUUCUUUUCAGGGUAAAUGCAUGUUCUCCUGGUUGAACAGCAGUCGCCUGGAUUCACUUCUCAGCUGUUGUACAAACUCAGACAAACCUUUCAGUUCAUCACACAAAUAGCUGGCAUCCAGCCUGCCUCAGAGAUGUUCAUCUCCCCGGCUGCCGUGCAGGGUCAGUGGUGGUGUCUGAUUCAUUUCCUCUCCCUAGGAAAGAGAGGGUGCGUCUGAGACGGUGGUGGUGGAGCUCCAGGAUUUGUUCCUCCCCUUCAGCAAAAGUCAUGGCUGACCACUGUGUCAGCAGACGAUGUUACGCAGAGGGGGAUCUCUGGUGAGGACAGAUUCGCUCAUACCUUAGUAAUAAAGAGAGCUGCCCAGAGGAGCAGCCAGCCAAGCUCCUGUGAUCAUCACUUGAAUGAGUCUGUGAUGCAUUUUAUUUGUAUUUCUCGUGCAGUUUCCUAAUUUGGCUCCCUGUAGCCUUGGGCUGGUCUCCCUAUUACUGUAUUUAAUUGAAAUAAAAUAUGUGCAACACCUGUUACAUUUGGACUCUGAGUUCACCUGGGGUCUCUGCCACAAUAUAAAUAAUAAUAGCUUCAAAUUAUAUUUUGAAUGAUUUACUUUGUGCUUCUGUAGCACUGCAUAAUUGAGAAGGGCUGCGUUUAGAUUGUUUUUCUGUUUCAAGGACUGACUCAGGACAAGAAACGGCAAUGGUGCAGGCUAGUUCCAUUUGAAGUAAAAUGUUGGAAGGUUGCAUGAGGGAGACGUCAGAGUGUUCACCUGCAUAUCAGACACUUGGACGUCUUAAGCAAAUGGGCUCUGGUUUUCUGCUCUGGCUGGGAGGGAGUGUCCAGACCCCUGUGCUACCAGUGUCUGUUCUGUGGCUUCUUGUUCCUGUCUCCUGACUAUAACGUGACAGAUGUUUAAGAUGCAGCUGGAUCCCCUUGCUCAGAUGUUUGUCAUGCUCCAAGCUCUGAGGACCAGCAUGUAGAGAUCUCAGCCCUCCUUAGGAAUUACAGCUCCUAAGCAGAGGUGCCCCCUCGCACAUCUAUCCUCCCUGCUGCUCCGGGCUUUCUAAAUGCAGCUCUGGCUGUCCGAAGAGAAGGCUGGGAACGUACACCUAAUUCCUGUCCCUGAGACAACAGGAGACACCUGCUUUUGGGCAGGCAGAGUCACCAUUUGCUGUUCUAAUUGAAUAUUUUGUUUUCCGAUUGUGUUUCUUUAUUUUCAGAUACCAGCAACAAACAAACUGCAGCAUGUACAUAUUUACCCCUUGUUCUGGUUUCAGCUUCCCUCCUGGUGCCUCUUGUGCCCAAAGUAAAUGCAGGAAAGGAAGGUGAUAAUAGAGCUACCGAUUAACCAGCCUGGUAUGAUUGACUGAGUACAGGCUGGGUGGAACAGCAAUGCUGGAGAGAAGCUUUCCUCACUCCCCUCUUCCAAAUCAUAUUUUUCAAGUUCACAUCAAUUACCUGCAUUUCCAACUGGAUAAAUGUGAGUGAGAAGGCUUUCUGUGAUCUGCUGACAAGACAGCGAAGCACUUUUUGCUAGCUUCCCUGAUGCAUUCUGUAGUGAGUGCUUGCACAAGCUGUGUGAGAGGCACUAACAUUUUCGCCAUGUAGAAGCUGUGUAAGAUGCAAGUAGUUACCAGCUGCACUGCAAGCUUCUGCCACCUUAUCCCACCCAGCAGAAGCCUCUGGGAGACCCAUUCAAGUCCUGCUUUAGACUCUGUCGAUGACUUAAGCGGCAAUAAACAUCUGUACCAUCUCUACAUGCUACAUAGCUCCAUAGCAAACAGUCUCCUACUUUGAGGGGCUUAGGAGUUUAAUCAGUUUUUUGUAACCAGGCAGCUCUGUUUGUUUUUAAUUUGCGGGUGCUUUACACAGAAAGCUGCUCCUUUUGCCACUCCAGCAGGAUCAAACUUUGUGGGAGGUGUUCUGCACAUAACCACUUCUGUUUUCCUUUGUGUUUGGUAUUAAACACCCUGUGUCUGCUUCUGUGCUGGGGAAUUCUGACUUGCACACUGGUGUGGAAGAAAGUCUGGCAGGAAUGGGUAAAUAUUGUCUGGCUCACAGUUGUGAUAGACCAACUGACAGCAGAGCUCCAGUUUCACUGGAUCACGUAUGUGUGCAUUAUUGCAACAUGCAAAAUAAAAGGUAUUAUCUUGCUGUAGACACGUUCUUAAAUGUGAUUGCUUUAAAAUACAGGUAAAGAUGAGCAGGCCAGUGAUGCUACAGCACUGGGCUGGGUUUGAACAGAACCAAGGAUCAGUUUCCACAUCUGCUGCCACUUUUCUUGGGAAACAGUAGCUCGUAUCUCUUACUGUAUGUGCCCCAGCUUUCUGCUCUAUAAAACAGGAACAAACCUUUGUGCCCUCCACAUGUGUUCAGUAUAGUGAAUGACAGUCCGUGUAGCUUCAUGGAAAAUAGUUCUCGUCAAACUGACCCGGUUGAGUUGUUUGAGGCUGUAAAUUUGGUUGACAGUAGGUGUUGGGAUGUGUGCUGUGUGAUAUUCUGCUGAAGUUUGUUGAACACACAGUAAAUGGCUAAGGGCUGGGGAAGGGGGAUGGUUUUUCAUAGUGCAACUGCAUAGAAAAAUGGUAUGAAGGCUGAAACUUUAAGGACCAUAGGGUAGUCCCGUGCUAGUUCAGUGUUCACGCUGCUCUUUACUCUCUGUGAAGGGGACAAAGCAGGGCUCUGCCUUGUCCUGGAGAGGGCAGGGAGCUGGAGCACCAGAAGCUGUGUUGAAAAUGCUCCCCUGCGUUGAGAAUAUUUGUGUUAGGCUGCAGUGAAUCUUGUGCUUCCUGGGUUUCUAGGCUUAGCAUGGUUACACUUUGUAAACAAUUUGCAGUCUUAGGAAAUUCAGCAUCAGCUUCUUUCUUGGCCUGAAACCUCUUAGAGUUCAUACUUUGGUAAAUCGCUAGCAAAGCAGGAAAGUGGUGCUCUGUUAUCAACAGGAUCUGUAGUAAUGAAGCCUCUUCUUUGACCCUGAGAUUGGAUUACUUGUGUGCCUUUGCUGCUGAUCCCAAUUAUCUCAAGGCAUUUGUGCUGAAAUAAAAUGCUGUGAGAAGCAGGGCUGGGUGGUAAUUUGAGGAUCUCCUGUUCCUCCUGAUAGGGAUGAGGAAGCCUCUCUGAGGCUGAGAACGGUGGAGUUGCUCAUGUAGAAAAGAGGAUGGAGAGACUCCAUGAGGAAACUUGCUGGUCUUUUCAAGUUAACAACUUGCAGCACUUCUUAGAGACAGAGGGUCACGGCUGCUGGGGUUACGCUGCCUGCGCUUCACCCAACCGCUGCUCAGAGCACCAGGAGGUUUUUGCUGGACUUCAUCGACCUGUGGACCACAGUCCAAGAAGAAAAUUCAUCCCUGCUUCUGUUACCACUCGUUCCCCCUUGAGGAUGUUUACAAGAGUUAUAGGAACCAAGAGGUUUAAGGGCCCACCUACAAAAGAAUAUGAAAUUAUCCAAAGGCAAAGAUGAAGAUUUGUGGUUUCUCCUCUCUUUAUGGGAACAGCUUGCUUUGAGUGAAAGUCUCCUGCCAGCCACAGAUGUGCAGUUGAAGAUGUGCAGGCUUACAGCAGAAGUCUCCUGCUCGCCUCACCCCAGAGGUCAGCACGGCGUUGAGCAGAGAAUGAAACCUGCUCACAGCUGUGUCGGUCCUGGCCUCGGCAGGAGCGCACGUGGGAGAACCUUUGGCAAGGAGAGAAGAGAGGAUUUGCCCGAAUACACUUCUGGCUGAGCAGCGACUCGUUCAAGUCCUUGAGGUAAGUCUCAUUUAUGGUGCUGGUGCAGAGGGGUGAGAACGGAUCUUCGGCCCUGCUGGCUCUGUGCAGGCUGUUGCCUUUGGAGCAGAGACUUGGUCUGUAUUUGUGGAUGCAAAGUGGUUCACGUGCAACACUUAGGACAUCUAAAGUAAAAGCGCAUUUAUGCUCGAGGGAAAAAUGGACCAUGCGAAUGUCUUGAGUGACUAAAGGGAAGGGACAGCAAGCCAAGGAGAAGGGGUAGGAAUGUAUGGAGGAGGGAGAAAGCAUCUUCACCAUUCUUCGUGACAAGAGAAACAAAGCAUGUUCUCUCCUCGCUCAAAUUAGAUGUAUUUUUUUGUUUUAAUACUUGCUAAUAUAUGCUAAGCUACCACUGCUUUUCAGAAAUUGACAGUUAGGUGCCUCUGCUGCCUUCAGUCACCCUGGAGUUAGGGGGAAGGUUUAUUUUUAUAACUUCAGCAUGACAUGACGGUGAGACGGUUUUAUAUUUAUUUCACCUGGAGAGGAAUAGCAGAGUAAGGCAUGACUUGGUUAAGAGUGGAGCUGACUUUGCAUUUCCUGAAGUCCAAAACAGGUUGAGAUGUGUGUUUGAGAAGGGGGGAGUCCAGGCCUGCUUCUCCAGUGGGAACCGAGGGGCAGGAAAUCAGCCAGGCAAGGAGAGCAGCUUUGCCUUGCUCCACUGUCCUUUAAGAGAGAAGGGGAGAAAUAGCUUAAUUGCAUAAGCCUUGUGGUUCUCCAUUAGUAUAAUCGCAGUAGUAGAAAGAAGAAGGGUGGUCGGGUCAAGCAUUAAAAAGCCUGAAAUGGUGAAAAGAGAUAACUCAAGCUACAGCAGCUUUGGAAACAAUUCUUCAGAAGUGGGUCGAAAGGGAUAACCAACACAUUGUGCCAUGCUCUCUACUUUCACUGAUAAUAGUCUGAGGGAUGAAAAAUUGACCCGUCAUAAUACGGUACUGUUACACGACUCUUCUCAUCUAGAUUUCAAAUGCUUUUAAAAAAAAAAAAAAAAAGUGCUGCAUUAAUCCCUUCCAAAGAUGCAGAAAAUAAAGCAAAGGAAUUAAUUGAAACUCACCCAGAGCCAUCAGUGAGUGCGGUGGAGUUCAGAAGCCUGUCCCCCGCCCAGGCAGUCUGUCCUGGCACUGGCACGCCGUGUCUGCCUCGCAGGAUUGUGGAGAGGAAGGAAAUCUUUAAGGUGCUCUUUAGUUCAAAGUUAUGUUACUGGUUUUGGGGUUUUGUUUGCUUUGGUUGCUUUUUUUGUUGUUUUUGUUUUUCACUUGCUGUGAAAACCUUUAAUGGAAAUAACUGAUUUUUCCUGGUGUGGCAAUAAAAGCCAUCUUAAGGUUGUGGACAUGACACACCAAAAAAAAAAAAAAGAGUUUUGUCUACCUUUCAGUGAGCAAUUUCCAUGGGGUCCAU